GAUGAACGCUGGCGGCGUGCCUAAUACAUGCAAGUCGAGCGAACCUCUUCGGAGGUUAGCGGCGGACGGGUGAGUAACACGUGGGUAACCUGCCUGUAAGACUGGGAUAACUUCGGGAAACCGAAGCUAAUACCGGAUACUUUUUCGAGUCGCAUGACUCGAAAUGGAAAGGCGGCUUCGGCUGUCACUUACAGAUGGACCCGCGUCGCAUUAGCUAGUUGGUGAGGUAACGGCUCACCAAGGCGACGAUGCGUAGCCGACCUGAGAGGGUGAUCGGCCACACUGGGACUGAGACACGGCCCAGACUCCUACGGGAGGCAGCAGUAGGGAAUCUUCGGCAAUGGGCGAAAGCCUGACCGAGCAACGCCGCGUGAGUGAUGAAGGCUUUCGGGUCGUAAAACUCUGUUGUUAGGGAAGAACAAGUACGAGAGUAACUGCUCGUACCUUGACGGUACCUAACCAGAAAGCCACGGCUAACUACGUG
rnacentral:rRNA from 1 species